rnacentral:lncRNA from 1 species
UUCCCUUAACGACAUAUUCUGUAUCACAGAAAUUUUUUGACAUGUUUAAAAUCACACGUGUCGUAAUGUUUGCCCAGUAAAAAAAAAAGGUAGUGCUGUUACAGAGACAGCGAUUUAGCUUCAUUGCAAACCGUAGUGCUUCUAUAGGAAGUAAUUCCUAGCGCGUCUGCCUUGAAAGCUAAGUCAAACAAAGGAGAAACAGUAAAAUGUAUUAUAUUAUCAUGCAUCCUAUAUCCAUAUUGUUUUGCAAGUUGAUCCGCCACCUCAUUUUGUUUCUUGUAGUUGCGUUCAUUCAAAGGUUCUCUUAGUUGGUUCAGCAAUGACCUGCAACCAUGAACAAUGUCAGAACAAUGUAAGUUAUUGUCGCGGAGGAACAAUGUAAGAGAGAUACUUGGGAGCAUCGACUCUUUUAUGGAUGAUAGGGCAACAAAAACCUUUUGUUCAUUUGACUGUAUGUUUGCACUAACAUUAAUAGAGGAAGGUAUCAAAUAUUAUAAACUUCAGUACGAAGGUAGUGCUGGGUGCCACAUUUACAAUUUGAAAAAAAGCAAAGAAAAAGUGUUUCCUUGAUUCUUCCUACAAGGAUUCUAAAACUUAAAACUUCUAAACAGCAUUCGAACUAUUUGCAAGAUUUUCGUUACACCCAAAACAGAAAAAGAAAAUAUCAUUCAUCCAUCCCCCAAUUUAAUACGAACUUCUGCUUUGAAAGGUCAAUAGACCUAUGACUGUUCUCCAUACCUCCAUAAUUAUUUCAUUUUUCAUUUAGUGAACUUGAAUUAUGUUUGCUUUAAGUUUUUUAUGCCCAAGCCCCCUUCCAUUUCACUAGAUUAAAACACCUCUUAUCUCUAUCUCCUUGCCAUAUAAAGUUCCUUAUUAAAGCAUCAGUCUUCUUUUCAAUUUUUACUGGUAUAUUUGGCAGAUAGCUUGAUUAGUUAACAAUGUACUUGACUCAUUAACCAUCAAUAUUUCAUGUUGCAUCCAUUAUCUAUCUACCACAAAUAAAAGUGAUUUGAUGAGUGUCUUAUCAGUUUGUCCACCAUUUUUUUGAGUCUCUAGAUACCAGCUUAGAGUACCAGAAAUUAUGCCCUAAAGGACAUGUGUGGGAGCUGUCAUUAGCGUGAAAAUAGUCGUAGGAAUUGUUUCCCACAACAAUGAGUUUACACCAAGGAGAACGAAACGAGCCCCUACGUGUUUACCCUAGUCUAGACAAGUUAGCAAAUACAGUACAAGAUGAAGUCCCAUGAUGUAUGCUAUUUGCUAAUGAUUUGUGUUAAUUGACAAAUCUAGCAAGGGUGUCAACCAAAAGCUUGACUUAUGGAGAAAAACGUUAGAAAGUAAGGGUUUUGGGAUAAGUAGAAGUAACAGAAUGAAAUUACAAAUGAAGGUGUUACUCGUUAAAAUCAGAUGGUUGAAAUGAAGAAGUGCUAUCAAGUGAAAUGUGAUAGAAGGAUGCCUACCAAAUUGAAAGUUAAAAAGUAUAUAGAACAACUAUAAGACUUACAAUGUUAUAUGGUGGUUGAAUGUUGGGUCGCUAAAGAUACAAUCCAAGUUCACUUGAGAUGGUUUGAACAUGUUUUACAAAUGCACUAAUUCGUUGGUGUGAAACAAUAGUAAGUGAAAGUGUUGAAAAGAGAUGGGCAAAUCUAAAAUGACAUGGAAGAAAGUCUCGAAAGACCUAUAAAUGCAUGGUGUUAAUGCAGACUUAGCUAACAAUUAGGCAUAAUAGAAGAAAAAGAUCUAUAGAGGUGAUAAGCUACUAGUUGAGAAUAGAUUUUAGACUUGUUAGAUAAAUUCUAAUAUUAUUAUUAUUAUUAUCAUUAUAUAUCCAUAAACAGCCUCUUAGGGAACUUUCACAAAAAUAAAUUAUUGCAUGUACCCAACAUCCCAAAACAGGGGUAACCCAAUACUGUCCUCCAGUUGUACUGAAAGAAGUCUGAAAUAGCAAAUCACCCAAGAAAUUUGCUGCUCCAACCGUUUCGUGCAGCAAUCUUGAUUGCCAGCAUGUCCAUUCUUGUCUAAACAUAUUUGCUCUAUCAUCAUCUCAUGAAGCAUUUCUCAUUUAGUCAUUACCUACUGAUGGCUAACAACUUGCUAUUGUUGACGUGUCAUUGUUGUUGUUAGGAUUAUUUUAUCUAGUACCAUUCUACAACUAAACAAUUGUUUUUAACUUUAUGGGAGAAGAGAGAGGGCAAGAAAAGUUUGACCCAAGAAAUUGGAUGCCUCUUUGGUUUUUAUCAUAUUCAAUAAUCGGAUCCCAAUACUAACCUUAUUUACCCCAACCACCUACUGCUAGUUCCUUAACUCGCAGCAAGCGUUAUGCAUCUUUUCUCUAGUAUGCAUUUAUGUUAUACUAGUCAUGUUUAAGAAAUUCUCUUCUUUAUCUGUUUUUUUUUUUUUUUGAGUGAGGUGGGUAGGUUGAAGGUAUUCCAAGGAGUCUUAUUUUGAAAACUAAGACGGGUCAACAGAAUGGAGUUUGGAUAAACAAUACGAUUUAGUAAGGGAAAACUUGAACAUUGGACCAUAAUGCAUGGCUACAUGCAUUUGGGUUUUCAUCCUGAAAUAUCCCCUUGUUAUUCUUUGUCUGAAGUCAGGUUGUAUGUUUCAACAUUCAAUAACUAGUAUAGAAUUGAGAAGCAACAUAGACAAUGCCUACAGAAAUAACGUGUGAUGAAGAUAACACACUUAGAUAUAUUCAUUAGAGCAUGUUCACCAUAUCUCUCUUGUUUUGCUUUAAUAUUAAGCAUGAAGGCAACAGCCACAACUAAUGAGUAUUUCAUACCUUGAUGAUUGGUACAUGAAAGUAGAGUAAAAGGAGCAAAACAGACUUCAGUGACAUACCUUAAAGACAGUACCAUUCACUUUGUAAAGGUUUUGUGCGCUAUCACUCCCAAGUCCAUUCAACUGACAAACACAGAAAAAGGAAUCAAAUACCAGAAUUGCAGCCAUCAGAUUAAUAAGAGGCUGCAAAAGAUAUUACCUGCGUUGUUCAAUUUAUGUCCUUUCUUAUAAGUAGAUAAUAAAGACACUUCUGAAUAUAUUUACUUUGACAGCAUGAAGUCGGUGAUUGAAAGAUACAACAAAACAAAGGAGGAGAAUCAUCAAUUGGCAACUCCAACUUCUGAGGUUAGGGUAAGUUUCACUGGUUAAUUUGCAGUCAACUAAUCAAAGAAAAAUAUGCAUAGCUAAGCUUUCUAUCAUAACCACUUCAUGUCGUUGGACAUAAUCUAGGCAAUAUCAAGGGACUUGUUGAGUAAUUGAGGCAUAGAAUUAACAACCUAAAAUCUCAGGUUCAAGGCCUUCUAUAACACAUAAUAUACACAUAUCUACUCAACCAUGGUGAGCUGAUUUCUGGACAUCUGUAAGGUAGGCUGCAGCAAGCUUUUUGGUGAGAUAGUCAAGGUGCGAGCAAAUUGAUCCAGACACCACUAUAAUAAGUAAAAAUUCUGUUCAAAGUUAACAGAAUAAUUAAAUGGUAGAGAAUAUUUUUAGUGAUUAUAUUAUAGAUGAAAGUUAAGAGGAUCAUUAAGAAUUAUAUGGAAAAUAUUCUUAGUGAUUAUAUGAUAAAUAUAGGAAACCAUAGAAACAAAAAGACUUCCCUCAUACAAGCAGCCCUCUUGAUAUUACCAACCAGUGCCAACAAGAAUAUCUUUUCAUCUUCUUCUCCUACUUAUUGGGCGUAUUAGGCUUCUAGGAAAUUUGUAGAAACCUAAGUGAAUAUAUAUUUGGAGAUUUUAUUACUCAUCUCUUUCUGAUUGAUCAUUCUAGGAAGUACCAUUCUUACUUCCAGCGAUCAUUUAGGCAGCACUAUGCUUUUUCAGGAGCCAUAACUCUUUCCAGAGAACAUUUGAGGCACCACACUGAUGUAUUUCAGGCAACCAUCUAUUCCUAGAGAUUUGUGUCACCAUAUCACUUCUCCCUAAAUUAGAAAAAAACAUUUCCCUAUGGGCUGUAAGGACACUUCUUUGGCUACAUCGACAACAGUCUGUGAGAAAGAAUAAGACCUUUUACGGCGAAUGUCACUAUUCCAGCAACUCAUUUCAGAUGACUGUCAAUUAUUCUGGUGAGUUCUAAUACAGUGCAAGGUGGCAUGUAAUCCUAACAUUGUUUUUGAUAAGUAGAAUUUAUUCAUAGAAACAGCAACAAUCAAGUAUUAAACCUGUAACAGAAGUUUGACUCAACUCCUAUCCAAGAUACAAGGAGUCUAUAUGAAGUCCAAAAGUGUUAUCAAGAUAAUUUUUACUGAGAAUUAUUCUAAAGGUUUAUACUAUAGUCUAGAGAACUAUUAAUUACUAUGUCAAAAUUGAAAUCCUCAAUGAGUAUGGUUCCUUAGUCCAUAGAAACUCCUAAGAGUCUAGUGUUUUCCUAACAAUAAAAGCUUAGUUAGGGUUCCUUACAUGAAUUAUGGUGUACUUCUGUGUAUACGACUUUGUGAAAAGGAUUUAAAAGAUAUUAGCACCUAUGAUGAAGGGAAAUAGAAUUUCGGAAACAGCCGUUCUACCUCUGGGCUCGGAGGUAGAGGUCAGGGCUGUGUUCACUCUACCCUCCCCAGAUCCCACUCCGUGGGACUAUAUUGGGUAUGCUGUUGAUGUUGUUGGAAUGUCAGUCAUAGGGUGGAGAAUCUUAUAAUAAGAGGGCUAGUGACUAGUCAAGUCAAAAACCUAGUUUGAUCUACAUGACUGGUUAUAUGGGUAGCCGAAUGGUAAUAAAAUAUUAACUAUAAAGGAAAACAACAAAAACGCUAGAAAGAGUCAAAAUGAAUAUUGAUAAUAUAUCUGUGAAUUUACACUAUUCCGAUUUAAUUAAUUCUAUUUAUACCAUGUGAGUCCUCCAGUUUUACCACUUCUAAGUUUCUAUGUGAUCUGGUUAGAUUGCAUGAGCCUGGUCCUAAGUUUGUAGUAUCCUACCACUCAGAUUGCUAUUUUGACAGUUUAGGAAAAGAAUAAAAUGCACAUUAAAGUACGUUGCUUUUGUUCUCACCAGAAAAGUGGAAAGAGAAAAAUGAAUUUUCAUCCCUUGAUAAAUCAGAUAACUUAUCCACCUUCACUUCCUUGGCUCAUUUGGUACAACGAUUCCUCAUUGCCCUGCCUUUCUGCCAUACUCAACACUUGUCUGUCCAAAUGGUCGGUCUAGCCAUAUGUUGGGUCAAAACUGAAAAUAGAAGAAGUGAGGGAAUGAUCUUAAAGGUUUCAUAUUAUCACCAACUCUACUGGAAAGGUCAAACUGUGUUUCCAAGGGAAAUAGAAUUAGGAGACGGAAGCAGGGUAACAGGGACAAAAGCGAAGAGACAAAACAGAAUCCUGCAAGAAGCAAAAGAUUCUUAUAGUUAACAGUUAGUUGUACAGCUGAAGAUGCUGGAAUGGAGGCUAAAGUUUGAAAACCAAUAUUUAAGAUGGAAGGAAGAUGCUUUAUGAGAAAAUAGAAACAUUCAUCCAAACUGGUGUCUUAUAAACCACGGGCAAUCCAAUACAUUGACAGAGAACAGGAGCUAAGUAUUCCAUUAUUACUGAUCUGGCAUGAAAUGCUAUCCAUUGAAAAUGUAACAAAACUUCACCUUUUCAAGAUUUAACUGGAGAGACGUCACAUAAGAAUAGAUCAGGGACUAUGGCUUUAAUUUGUCUAGCAAUCACAGCAUAGCUCAAGAUAGAACUGUCUUAUAGUUCACACUACACAAUUACUUUGAAGCAUUUUGUAUCAUAUCAAGCAAAAACAUCUUCAGCUAAACAAUUUUCAUAUAACCCCUACAGUCUGCAUAUUAACGCGAAAAAAGAUUCUACACAGACACAGCCUGAUUUCCUGCAAGAGCAAUUAAAGAAAGGGUUUUCAUGCUCUUGAGAGGGGUACAUGAUUGGAAAAACAAAACCACGUGCUACCUUUUUACUGACGAUCACCAUUAUCAACUUCAAGGAUUUAGUAGUCUGCCUAAUCCAGCUGUACUUGAAAAAUUGGCCAUCUUUUAAAUUACCUUUACAGUGUAAAGGUUCUAUUGUGGGAAAAGUUCUAGUAAGACAGGGACUUCAAAGGCUGCUUAUCCUCCAGCCCCCUUCUAACUAGUGUCAAAAUCUUAAAACAAAAUCUUCUGAAUCUUAAUCAUUUGAGCCAUGCCAAUUCAACAAGGAGAUUCAAUUUGUGGUAGAGGUAGUAAUGAUUUCUUUCCGGUGAAGCCCAUUUCUUGAAAAUCGUCUGCUAGGGCACACUAUCUGUUGUCAAAUAUCUACCAAGAUGACAGCUGGUGUUAACCUACACCUUGAUCAUUCCUAUGUUCACAUAUAAGUUCAGGUACAGCAAGGAGCUUUUGGAUAUGGUAUUGGAAGAUAAUUCCUGGUAGAUUGAUCAUGGAAGCAGCACUUGACCCCUUUUAAUAAUAAGACUGGAUAGACCACCCUAAUUUAAGACAUAACUAAGAAUUCUGCUCGGGGGUUAAUACUGCCAUCAUGACAUAUUGCACUCAUUUUCAUAGCACACUCUUCCAAUGGUACACAAAUCCAGGAACAGAAAAUCUCGUCUAGAGCUGCUUUACGAUCUUCAAGUGGGGUAACUAUGACGCAGCUGUAAUUUUAUUUUUUUUGUACAACUGUAAUUAAUCAUUUACAGAACAUCAAAUUUAAUUACUCCUUACUGUACCAGACAUCAUAGUUUAUGACCAUCAACUUCAAGGCCUCCAAAACAACAAUAGCUUAUAAUUUUAUCCCUGAUAGCAUAUUGUCGAACAAAAUUGUUAAUGGUAGGAAGCAACAAAUAUAAAAACGACGCCUUGUGGCAAUCUCAAGGAAGUAACUCUAAAUUGAAGUUACACAAUCUUAAGGGUACAUAUGGAUCUAAUUCCCAGACCACAAGGAGGGGGACGGCUCAAUUUAAAUCUAAGUAGCACCCAUUACAUCUAGGCUUGGUUUCCUAUUGAUUUCACAGCUAGUUUUAUCAAGCAUGCAGAAAUAUCCAUUAGUUUCUCCUAUGAUAAUCCAAAACCAUGUAUUAAAAUAUAAUUUCCUGUUAGCAGUUUUGGCAAAGGGAAGCGGCAAUGCUGAGGCAACAACUACAGAACUUGCAAGAGAAUCACCGGUAAACUCUCUUGUCAUAUGUUAGAUAUAUUUCUUACUUCCACAAAUAACUUAUUCAAUGAUCUAUAGCACAAACACAGGGACUCUUGUCUCCAUUGUAAGUUUUAAGACAUUAAAGUAAAAAUUACUCCCUUCAUUCACUUUUACUUGUCACAUUUGGAAUUAGCACACCCAAUAAGAAAACAAUAAUUGACAUGGCUAUUUUACCACACUACCCUAUUAAUUGAUGUUUAGUAUUAAGUGUUGAAAAAUGAUCUGGGAAUAUGUAAUCAAUGCUAAGGGGAAGACAUGGAAAAAAUUUAUUGUCUUUUCUUGAUAUGUUAAAGGUGAAGAGUAAAAGUAGGUUUGGGGGUUUCACAUGAAUCCCUAUUAAUUGAUGUUUAGUAUUAGGUCUUGGAAAUGGUGUUAUCCACUUUAAUGUUGAGGGACUAGGAAUUAGAGAUUUUAGAAUGUUCAUAAACUCUACCAGGAAAGUUGGUUUGGGGUUUCACAUGGAACUCAACCGUUGUGGGCAUCGACAAGUAUGCUAUUAAAUGGGAUAAUGAGGACCAAUCAUAUUGAGCAUCUCUUUAGAGGAUAUUGGGAAAAUGUGGAGAGAUCCUAUCUAAGUGAAAAUUUAUAUAUACUUUUUUGAAAACUACCCAUCAAAGCGACAAAUUUAAAAGGGGAGAGGGGUUUUGUUGUGUGUGUGUGUGGGAGGGGGGGAGGGGGGCUAGGCUAUUGAAACUAGAAUCAAUGUCUUGAAAUAGAGAGGGUAGAGUCGUUGAUUGUGUUAAGUUUUCUGAUCAUUUUUAAUACUUUCAACCAACAGAUAUUAACAGUUGUCGACAAUUUUUUUAUUUUCUGAAAUGGUAACAUAAUAAUUGUCCACAAUUAUAGAGAAUGGGGGAGAAUUUUAUAGGACCUAUUGCUUGGAUCACCAUACAUGCAAAGAAAAUACAGAAAUACUCCCAAUUCACAUUAUUUUGUAGUUAUUACUACUCGUUUCUGUAUUUUCUUUUUUCAAACUACUUGGAAAUGCUUUGUUUUAAGCGGAGGGUCUAUCGGAAACAGUCUCUCUAGCUCUAACGAGGUAGGAGUAAGGUCUGGUUACACUCUACCCUCCCUAGACCUCAAAUGUGGGAUUACAUUGGGCAUGUUGUUUUUGUUGUUCUUUCUUUAGGUAGGAAUUUUCCCAUAACAUUAGUAUACGUUGAUUUCAUCAACAAUGUUCCUAGGCAAAAUAAAAUAUCUCCUCCAUUGCACUACUUAAAAUAUUUAACUAUUGUGAUCUUUUGGAUCGAUGGUGUUAUUUCUUUUUAUUUUUUGGGGGUUGGGGGGAAUAAAGGUAAUAUUUGAGGGUUUUACUUUUCUGUCUUUAAAUGGAUGGAGUGAGGAAAUAGAGAAAUGUGUAUUAAUUGACACUAAUUCCCGUGAUAGCUAUUUUGUUCAUAAUCCUGAGCUUUCUUUUGACACUACAGAAGUUCCGUUAAAACAUGUCCUGUUUUUCUUCGUUUCACUCGCUUUUUGACAGAACAUUUUGUUAACGAACUUAACUCUCCUUUCUCUGCUUCUCCCUUCCUGUCCCUCAAAACCCUUGAAGAACAAAAAAAAUUGAAUGUACCUCCUCUUCUCUCCUCUCAUUUCUAUCUGUCUUUCAAUUCUAUAGCUCUAUCAGAACCCAACACCCACACCCCAGUUUUCUUUUUCUAUGUUCAGUGGGCAGUAGAAAGAGAGAAAAGGAUAGUUCUAGUAGUGAUACAAAAGGUGUCUCAUCAAGGAUGCCGUUUGGAAUGUUCCUUCAAUAUCUUCAACAGUAUAGGCAUCCUAAGCCAACCACAAGAAAAUGCAUGAAACUAAGAACUAAACUAUCACCACCUUGCUGGAAAAAAGCAAGUGACACUAGAUAGCUUGUAACAUCAGUUCACAAAAUAGAAUAUGACAGAGAUAUCUGCUCUAGGUUAUCCUUAAAAAGAUUAUAUCUGUAAGUGCUGACAGAAAGGAUACUCAGAUUAUUUCAAGCUACUGGUUUUACAAUCAAAAGGAAGAGGCACUCAGGACCAUGGUUGUAACCCUUCAGAUCAGGGUUUUGAAGGAUCAAACAACAUUCGGUCUCUCUUAUGAAUUAAAGUAUUAGCAUGGACUUCUAGGGUGUGUCUGGUAUGGAGGAAAACAUUUUCUAGUAGAAGUGGCUUCUUGUUUAUUUUCUUGUGUUCGGUAUGCAAGUAAAAAUUUAUAAUCCUAAAAGUAUUUCUAUAUAUAUCUAAGACAAAACUAUGACUCUAUGAGGGUGGGGGUGGAGGAAUUCAGGGGUGGGCUGGGUGGUUGUGAGGAGACAAUGUGAUUUGUUUUACCUACUUUCAUUAGGAAAGUUAUUUUCCAUAUUAUUUUUAUUAUGACAAGGGAAAGCCGCAGUCGUUACCCUUUGGGCGCGCACAGGGUAAAACCCCCGCUCCUAUGCAAUAGCUCGCAAACCACAUAGGAGAGGUAACCCGCACUAGGCAAGCCCGGUGCGAUGAGCUCGAUCUAGAAGGCAAACCCCUUGCUUUCGCUGGCAAGGGGUUUCGAACUUGAGACCUCCAACAUGGAAGUCCUAAGCCCAAACCACUGGCCAACCCCAAAGGGUCAUUUUCCAUAUUUUCAAGGAGAUUGUUUUCCUAAAGAAAAUAUUUCUCAAAAUUUUUGGUCAACUGAACUGCAGUGAAUCAUGCAAUUCACUGGAGGAUUCUGUAAAGAUGUCUUCACUAUAUAAUCCCAGCAAGCAACUCAAUGUUGGGGAGUGAAAAUUCAAUAAUAAGCACACCUCAAAUGGUGUUAUAGAUUUCUUCCAGAGCUCCAUCAAACUGUUUAACAUCAACCCCCACCCACACCCANNNNNNNNNNNNNNNNNNNNNNNNNNNNNNNNNNNNNNNNNNNNNNNNNNNNNNNNNNNNNNNNNNNNNNNNNNNNNNNNNNNNNNNNNNNNNNNNNNNNNNNNNNNNNNNNNNNNNNNNNNNNNNNNNNNNNNNNNNNNNNNNNNNNNNNNNNNNNNNNNNNNNNNNNNNNNNNNNNNNNNNNNNNNNNNNNNNNNNNNNNNNNNNNNNNNNNNNNNNNNNNNNNNNNNNNNNNNNNNNNNNNNNNNNNNNNNNNNNNNNNNNNNNNNNNNNNNNNNNNNNNNNNNNNNNNNNNNNNNNNNNNNNNNNNNNNNNNNNNNNNNNNNNNNNNNNNNNNNNNNNNNNNNNNNNNNNNNNNNNNNNNNNNNNNNNNNNNNNNNNNNNNNNNNNNNNNNNNNNNNNNNNNNNNNNNNNNNNNNNNNNNNNNNNNNNNNNNNNNNNNNNNNNNNNNNNNNNNNNNNNNNNNNNNNNNNNNNNNNNNNNNNNNNNNNNNNNNNNCACCCCCCCCCCCCCCCCCCCCCCAAGAAACGAGAAGUCACAGUUGUUUAAAACAGGAUGUAUAAGUCACAUACAGUCAACUGUCAAUUUCUCUGUUGGAAUCACAUGUUUCUUAACAGUUUAUUUCUGCAAUAUAGACAAAUGAUGGGUGAAGAGCUUUCUGGUCUGAGCGUCAAAGAUUUGCAGAACUUGGAGAACCAACUGGAAACGAGUCUCCAUGGUGUUCGUGUAAGAAAGGUAUGAAAUUUCCAGAUCCAACAAAUGUUCACUAUAUUAAUUAAAUAAAAACUAACUCUACCCCCACAUGUCUACAGGACGAAAUUCUGAUUGAUGAGAUACAAGAACUAAACCGAAAGGUCAAUCAACAUAAAAUGCAGAGACUCUUAUCAAUUUAUUCUAAUCUAAAAAGUAUAACUUCUCAAGAUACUAAAUUAAUAUUUUUCCUUGCAGGGAAACCUCAUUCAUCAGGAAAACAUGGACCUAUAUAAGAAGGUAAACCUAAUUCGUCAAGAAAAUAUGAAAUUGUGUAAGAAGGUAUCAAUGUACAUCACUAAAAGCUUUCACAUGCUUCAAGAUCAAUUAUUUCCUUUUGUUUUCUUAUACCAAGUGAAAGAGUCAACCAUUCUUCUUAGAACUCUGGCAAAUUGUUUCUACAUUGUGUUAAACUACAGGUUUAUGGAAAUAGAGAUGCAAAUGGAGUGAGCAGAAGUCCCCUUGUUGCGAACAGUUUAAGCAUCAAUGAGGACCUUCAUGCUCCUGUUCAUCUCCAGCUUAGCCAGCCACAGCAACAGAACUAUGAGGCAUCGGGAACUACCGAAUUGGGGUAAUUUCUUGCUCAUAUGCUUCAUCUGGAAGCACAAUGGUAAUUCACUAACCUGAUCAUUGACUAUCGUCUUACUGGAAAAUGCUGCAGGCUACAACUGCAUUCGCAGUGAAAACCAGCCUCGUAAGAGUUUUCUGUUCUCAUGUUGAAGAAGCAGCUGUGCUUACAGAGCUAUGUUUUAACUUUUAAUGGUAGUAAUGAUAUAGAACCCAGAGAUGUCAGGAAAAAAUCUUCAGUUCACAAGGUUUAUGACAUCAAGUUUGACAAGUGUGAGGUAAUCCUUAGCACAACUACUUAAAGUAAGAUAACAACAAAUAAAGGAAUACAUUGGCACAGUAUCUCUACAUAUCUUUAUCUUUCUUCGCACUUCAUGCUUAUGAUGUGUAUGCCCUGUAUACUAGGAUUGUACUUGAUGACGUUUUCAAAUAGCUAUAAAUAGUUGACUACUUAAAACAGGGGUGGGAGCAAAGAAAUGCAAUCAGAAAAAGGAUAUACAUAACAGUAACUCCUCAAAGAAAUUCCUUGAGAAACACACCACAAGCAAACAGUACAAAGCAGAGCUAAGAAACUUAAUAAAGUAAGCCAUACCGCAUUGUUGCAUCAAUAUGCUUUGCGUGCAAUAGUCUUUAGCAAGGGACAGAUUAAAUUCAUUUCACACCAGUGUCGAACUUCAAAUUCAAGUGCUAAACAAAAAAGAUACAACAAGCAUUUGUAUUAGUAAUGCUCUUCCCAGAAAUUUUAGAAUGGAUGAUCAAAUAAUAUAUGAAGCAACAACAACAACAAUAUACCUAGUGCAAUCCCACAGGUGAGGUCCGGGUCGGUAGACUGUACGCAGACGUUAUCUCUAUCUCAUGGAGGUAGAGAGGCUGUUUCCAAAAGACACUCGCGCUCAAGUAACAGAUAAUAUAUGGAGCAUGCUCCACAAACAGUCUUUUCUGCCGAAGACAGUAAGUACUUCUUAAACAAGCUAUUUCUGGAUCACAAGGAUUCCAAUGGUAAACCUACACGAAUGCAUGCACUAUCAACAACCAAAUUUUCUAUACUACAGAAGACAGACUCUCAUCAAAUGACCUAUUUGUACAGCAAUGGAUUGCAUACUAAAUUAACAUGGAAGAAACAUGUUUAGGUCAUGAUGUGUGUGAGCAUAAAGUCCAUCGUAGGCAAAACUUCGUAUUACUUUGGAGAGUACACAUAAACAGAACAUGUCAUCUAAAAGGAGUAAAGUCUUCACCACGAAGGAUUAUUCAUCUUCUAUCAGGAGAUAGUUUACAAGAACGUAAAUGAAGGAAUAACUGUUACCAUUGACAAAAAAAGUGAAUGAAGGGCUAUUAGGUAGUGAAUAGGACUAGGACAUUAAUAAGGCAUAAACUCCAUGGAAGUUAUCAAACUUUAGUGCGUCAGGUACUAUGUAUUGACAAGGUAAAUGGAAUUUAUAAAACUAGAAAUUUGAAUCUAAUUGAACAGCAAAACUGCAAGCAUGCUAUGUUAUACUACAAAAGAAUAUGAUACCAUUAAUUUAGGAAUUCUGGAAAACUGUAAAAGAGAAGAUUUGUUUUAGAUUUUAGUGGAAUAAUCAGAGCACGAUAGAGCAUCUUCUACAAUGCCAAUACUUAAACCGAUUGGAACAUUUAUUACAACCAAUGCUCAAUAACAGCAGCAGCAGCCAUUUCAAACAGUGAGAAUACAAGACAUAAUUUAACAAUGUCCUUUGUGUCAAGAUUCUCAGUUCAAGACAAAUAGACACAAAAGAGGGGGAGAUUAGGUUCCAUUUUGACUAGCACCUGGAUAACAAUGAAGAUGAUUCUCACAUCUCCAUGUGGUGCAGUAAGGUUCUUAAAGUUGCAUGAACGAACAAAUUCUGAGGAAACUGGCCUGACUCAAGAGAAAAAAUGGAUCAUCUAGAGUUACUGCAGUAGUAUGUCUGCUAAAUAACAAUUUUCAUCAACGUAGUAAAAAGAUCAAAAAAUUUCCAAACAAGUUGGACAAGGAUAGCGUCUUCCACACAGCAAAGAUCUAUAACACCACAUUUGAGUGAGAUGACAUGGUACUCUCUCAAACACCAAAUUGUCUUUUAGCAACAUAAUAUGUCCAAUCCAAGUAAAUAAAACUACAGAAAGGUAAAUAUGCUAGUCGGCACUGUUACAACCACAGCAUUAAUAAGUUACCCUAUUGAUGGGACAGGCCUGGAAAUAGUGUUACUUAAUUUAUCUCUAAACAUCAUUUGUACUGCCUAAAGUUCCAGUUUGAGGUGUCCUUGCAAUAUAGUAUGAGGUGAUUCCAAGCUUUCUUUCCCCAUUUUUUUAAAAUUUCACAAACUCUUUUUAACUUUAUAAACGGUUUAACCUUCUACAACCAUUCCAAAAAUGUGACAUUGCUUUAAGGUAGGUGAACCAUAAACCUUUACAUGCCUACAAUACCCAAAAUCUCGAUGACUCUUGGGUGUCCCAGAUCACACACCUCUUUAUUCAAGAGUUUAUGGAAGUAUGUCUGCCAUCUACACCUAAUAAGAGUCCCAUCCACCAAUACCGUGUCAUCCUCAUCUUUGAUGCACUUCACUUGCUCCAAGUCACAAGUCUUCUCCUCUCUCACCUUGGUUGUCGUGUACAACUGCUUGUCCCAGCCUAUGUCCCCAAGUUCUUCAUACAGACGUCCAAAACCCCUGCAGUCUUUGCUGCCUUAACUGCUAAUUUCACCUCCUUCCUCACUUUCUUAUACUCCUCCUUGUUCAUCCUCUUCUCCUCAUUGUCUUUUCUUUCUACUAUCUUCACAUAUGCUGCUUUCUUGGCGUCCACUUUUCCUUGGACCUCUUCAUUCCACCACCAAUCCUCUUUUGUGUCCACUGGAGUAACCCUUCAAGAUCUCUAGCACCGCUCUAGCUGCUCCCUUAAUGUAAGUCACAGUCAUCGACCACAUGCUACUCGUGUCCCCACUGCUCCUCCAGGUCCCCAUUGCUAUCAACAUCUCCACAACUCCUAAGUAUUAUCCUAAGUCAACGCACCCCACUUGAUCUGCCUUGAUCUUUGGGUGACCAUACACGACACUUUUCUCCUCUUCCUCGUUAUUACGAUGUCUAUCAUAACCAUCUUAUUUUGCUUAUAAGUCAUAUUCACAGUUAAGUCAUGUGAAUCUAUUGUAUAAACAAUAUGGUAACAAGUCAACUUUAUUGCAUUAACAAGACUAACUAUAACUGAAUUAUAUCAGUAACAGAAGUAUCAAAUUUGUUUCUUUUAUCCCUCUGAACCUAAAACUUCCUCUGACACAUUAACAAAAGGGUCCUCUAAACCUAAUACUUACUCUGUCACAUUUACCUAAGGGGAUACUAUUACUUUUUGGGGAGUCAGAGGUUUUUCUUUUACGACAAGCUUUUAUAAAAAAUUACUAAAUAUUUUGAUCUAUUAAUUUUUGUGACCAACCGCACUUGUUUCACAAUUUUCACUAUGUAAAAUUUAUGUCAAAUUCUUGAUGAAUCUAUGUCUAAAUCCACACUGAAAAUUAGGUAUUUUGACCCUCAUACUAUAAAGCAGAGGAAGUGUUAUACAAUAUAUAAGAUCACUUGGAACUUCUAUGAUGCACUUUACAAGGAUGUGAUUAAAUGAAUGCACUAAAGCUUUCCAUCACAUCCAGAACUAUCUGUGGAAUGGAAACUGGACUAGCUCAACUAGGACCAACUGAUCCGUCAUUUACCAAAACGCUAACAUAGCUCACUAGCCACCAAAUCUAUGAGGUAGAAAUCCAUCUCAAAAUGAGACUAGGUUUAACACAACAAAAACAAAGUAUUAUUGAAAUCUUGAAACUCACCAGUUGCAUAAACAACUGAAUUUUCUAUUUGCCAACCAUUAUCUAAUUUUAUAAAAACAAGAGUCUCAAUAACUUAUGGUUUAUGGUUUUUAAAGAUGAGGAAUAUUUAUAUGUUCCAAUAAUUAAUAUUUUACAGGUUACUUUAAGUUAUGUCUUACGUUAUUAUUAAUCUACAACCAUUUCAUUUGACCAACAGCCAAAUCAAAUUUCAAGUAAGACUUUAUAUUUUUUUGACUUUAAUGAGAAAAAUUGUUCUUUUCUUAAUGUUUCAAAUUAUUACUAAUUAUUUUCAAUAAUAUCUCAAGCAACAAAUUAUAAGAACAUUCUGCCCUAACCUUCACAAAAGUAAACCUAGGUCAGUAACCAAAAUAGGAGGCAACAUAAGAAAGUAUUUUGGUAGAAGCAGUUACUGUAAUGUGAUAACUUUCAAGCGAAAGGUUGCUAGUGAGCUAAAGACAAAUACAGCAAAUAUAGAAUGAUCACUUAAACUUUAAAAUUCAUCAAGCUGAGAGAUAUAAGCUUCAUGAUUAAUCCUUCUUGUUCCAAAAAUAAAGCUUUGAGGAGUUAUCCAUGUGUGUACAGUGUCAUAUCAGUCCAUACACUAACAAGUAUUUUGAAAUUACAGGUGAACAACAGUUUGAACCUGUGCGUGGUAGAUUCAUAAAUCACUGUCUUAAUCCAUAUGGCUACAUCCACUCCCUCACCUUCUUAAGUUCCACUUUUACAGAUUUAAAUUGGAAACAAAAUAUUCAAGUCAAAUAUCUAUCAUCUUUCUUAUUUCAAUGAUGUUCUUAUUCAAAAUUAUGAUUAAAAUAUAAAGUAAAAAUAACCAAAAAAAGAAAAUAUAGCAGCAAGAAGAGGUAAAAUCAAAAUACAUUACUCAUAAGCUAAUCUUUUCUCCUUUUCAGAAAAACAAAUGCGCCCACUCAGGCUUUGGGGAGGGUAGAAUGUACGCAGACCUAACAACUAUCUCGUGGAGGUAGAGAGGUAAUUUCCGAAAGACUCACAGCUCAAGUGCAACAAAUCUAGGUACAAAUAAGACACAGACAAUGACAACAAAAAUAGUACGACAGUUGAAAUAUCAAAACAAGAACUACAAUAAUACUAGUAUAAGAAUACUAGUUGGUAAAAUAUCUUUUCUUUCCUAAGCAAUAUAUAAGAUCCAAUACAGUGUACAACGAUCAUCCUUCAAUCCUACAACUCUUUAUUCUAUCCCUCAAUAUGGACAAUUCCCUAAACUUUAAUCUUAAAAGCAUAUGCCUAAACUAAAGGAAUCAUUUACGCAAGAUGAAUUUUCAUUUCUCUCGAAAAAAAUCCUCAAUUUAUGUUAGUACAAUGCUGAAAUACAAAAGAAGUAGAUUAGGUAGCCAAUCCAUUUCACGCAGUAAAUUGCUUGUAAUAUGAUCACUAAACAAUUUUAGAGGGACAAAGCUAGUUAACAAUAAUAUAUUCCAGAGAAAUGUGUAACAGUUAACAUGAUGUUACAAGAUUUCAAUUAGGUCGCCAAGUGGUAUUUCAGUUCAACUUCUACUGUAGGCCAUUAAACUGGUAAAUCAAUCAUUUUCUUGCUGAUAAUGUGAUAGCUAUCUGUAUUUUACAUGAUGUUGUAUAGAUCACUUAAGAUCAAAAAUACAAAAUGAUAACAAAAGUAACAGGAGGUAAUCAUAACACAGUUCGCGGGAGAAGCCAUAAGAUGUACAGCAGCACUAAGAUUAUAUCACACAGAUAGAAAGCAUAUUUGACCUCUAAUAUACACAAUUACAUAAAGUAAAUGCUAUAUGUAUUCCGUCAUACUAUUCUAUGAACUACUAUGAUAAAUUGGUGCCGAAAAAGAAAAAAUGCAAAAGAAACAAACAGAAGAAAAGUGUACAUGCAAUAACAAAUCUGAAGCCAGCACAGAUUUCACCGAGAAACAUUAAAGUAAUUUUCUUUAACUCAAGUACAGAAGCAAAAUUGUUUGCCAACAGUACUUCAAAGUGUAACAUCAAAUCCAAGACAAUAUGCUUCCUAGUAAAGAAAAGAAUCGUGAAGAAAAGAAACUCCAAUAACUCGCAAGGAAAGAUUUGUGAACCAGAAAAAAAAAAAAACUAAGAAAAUACGAAACUAAAUGAAACGUAUAUUUAAUUAAGUAUGAAGAGAACAACAUUACGCACCUGAAAAACGAAGCAACGGCAUUUCCACAAUGCUGUGAGUGUAAUUGCAUACCACAUCUAUUAUAAACUUGUGAUCAGGAAAAAGUUCUGCAAGGGAAUUGAAAAAGGCAAAACAAAAAAUGAUUCCGAUCAGCAAGCUGCGAGAUAAAAUAUUCAAUAAAGAAUAAAAGGAAACGUAUCGGAAAACGCAGUUAGUUUAGAAGCAAAGGUGAAAAUUGAGUUUAGCUUUCAACAAAGAUAAGCAUAUGAUAUUAAAUAUUAUUUUUUCUUCUUUCUCAGGAACCAAAAAGAAAAAAACUGUGAAUUGAACCACCGCCAUGAGAGGAAAGAACAAACAUUGCGAGUUCAUCCUGGAGUGAUCGAUCGAAAAGUUUAUCGGACAAUUCGAGGAGAAGAUGAAGAAAGAAUUGAAAGAAGAGAAUUCGAUUUGUGUUCGAAACAGUAGGUUUCACAUAGAAUAGAGAGAGGAAAUGAAUAGAGACGGGAAAAACAAUAUAUGCGUGAGCUGUGAAGGAUAAAAAGGACGGGGAAAUUGGGAUGAGAAACCCGAAGCAGAGUGGGGCAGGGGGUUGAGAAAAUUCUGGGGACUGCUGCUGUUUCCUGGUGGCGCCCCAAUGGUGAUUAUUUUAUGGCGUUAUUAUAUGCUUUUCUGGGGACUUCUUGUUUUAU